rnacentral:rRNA from 1 species
UACGUAGGGUGCAAGCGUUGUCCGGAAUUAUUGGGCGUAAAGAGCGCGCAGGCGGUCGUGCAAGUCGCGUGUGAAAGCCCCCGGCUCAACCGGGGAGGGUCACGCGAUACUGCUCGACUCGAAGGCAGGAGAGGGAAGUGGAAUUCCCGGUGUAGUGGUGAAAUGCGUAGAUAUCGAGAGGAACACCUGCGGCGAAGGCGGGUUGCUGGGCCGACACUGACGCUGAUGCGCGAAAGCCAGGGGAGCGAACGGG